GACGAACGCUGGCGGCAGGCGCAACACAUGCAAGUCGAGCGAGCGGCGGACGGGUGAGCAAUGUCUGGGAAUCUGCCUGAUGGAGGGGGAUAACUACUGGAAACGGUAGCUAAUACCGCAUACCAUCAGAUGGGCCCAGAUGGGAUUAGCUAGUAGGUGGGGUAAUGGAUCACCUAGGCGCCGACCCCUAGCUGGUCUGAGAGGAUGACCAGCCCCACUGGAACUGAGACCCGGUCCAGACUCCUACGGGAGGCCGCAGUGGGGAAUAUUGCACAAUGGGCGCAAGCCUGAUGCAGCCAUGCCGCGUGUGUGAAGAAGGCCUUCGGAUUGUAAAGCACUUUCAGCGAGGAGGCGUUAAUCGCAGAAGAAGCACCGGCUAACUCCGUGCCAGCAGCCGCGGUAAUAC
rnacentral:rRNA from 1 species